ensembl:lncRNA
CCCCCACCCACCCACGAGCGCGGGCGCCGACGGGACCCCCGAGGGCCCCAGGCAGGCUGUGGCCAGGUCGCCGAGCACCAGGCGCUCCGGGGACCGGGCCGGGCCCAGGCGCUGACCCGGGCCGCUCGAGACCAGCCCUGGGCUCCGGGCCAGGAAUACGGUUCGACCAGAAAAACUGUUUAUGAACUGAUUUCCUGAGAUAACUGCAGAACUGGUAGCCCAGUGAUGACCAAAUCUGGAAGUCCUGGUUUCUGGACUCACACAGCAGUCCCCACCAGUAGCUGAAUCAGACCUCUCUUUGGGUUCUGGAUGGUGCCCAUGGGAGAGGUGAUCUUGGAUACCAUGAGGAAUGAGGUGGAAAUCAGGAAGCAGUUGGAGUGGCUGAUAAAAGGAGGAAAAAUAGAGCAAGCAUGCUCUUAACAGUUGCAAAGCCCAGGGCAAAAGUAGAUGGAAGCCCACACACCGUAUGGC